AUUGAACGCUGGCGGCAGGCCUAACACAUGCAAGUCGAACGAGUCGCGGACGGGUGAGUCAUGUCUGGGAAACUGCCUGAUGGCUGGGGUUAACUACUGGAAACGGUAGCUAAUACCGCAUACCAUCAGAUGUGCCCAGAUGGCAUUCGCUUGUUGCUAGGGUAACGGCUGACCAAGGCGACGAUCCCUAGUUGGUCUGAGAGGAUGACCGGCCACACUGGAACUGAGACACGGUCCAGACUCCUACGGGAGGCAGCAGUGGGGAAUAUUGCACAAUGGGCGCAAGCCUGAUGCAGCAAUGCCGCGUGAAUGAAGAAGGCCUUCGGGUUGUAAAGUACUGUCAGUGGGGAGGCGUUACCCGAAGAAGAAGCACCGGCUAACUCCGUGCCAGCAGCCGCGGUAAUAC
rnacentral:rRNA from 1 species